rnacentral:rRNA from 1 species
UACAGAGGGUGCAAGCGUUGUUCGGAAUUAUUGGGCGUAAAGCGCGUGUAGGCGGCUUUGCAAGUCGGGUGUGAAAGCCCUCAGCUUAACUGAGGAAGUGCGCCCGAAACUGCAGAGCUUGAGUACCGGAGAGGAUGGCGGAAUUCCCCAAGUAGAGGUGAAAUUCGUAGAUAUGGGGAGGAACACCGGUGGCGAAGGCGGCCAUCUGGACGGAUACUGACGCUGAGACGCGAAAGCGUGGGUAGCAAACAGGG